UCACGUCUUGCGACGGCAGUUUCACUAGAGUUCCCAGCUUUACCUGAUGGCAACUAGUGAUAGGGGUUGCGCUCGUUGCGGGACUUAACCCAACAUCUCACGGCACGAGCUGACGACAGCCAUGCACCACCUGCGCAUAAGUCCCUUGCGGGAGGUUCUGGCUUUCACCAAAAUUUCCUAUGCAUGUCAAACCCAGGUAAGGUUCUUCGCGUUGCCUCGAAUUAAACCACAUGCUCCACCGCUUGUGCGGGUCCCCGUCAAUUCCUUUGAGUUUUAAUCUGCGACCGUACUCCCCAGGCGGAAUGCUUAAAGCGUUAGCUGCGCCACUAGUGAGUAAACCCACUAACGGCUGGCAUUCAUCGUUUACGGCGUGGACUAC
rnacentral:misc_RNA from 1 species